UAGCCUAGAAUGGACAACGCUUCCUA
rnacentral:piRNA from 1 species